AUUGAACGCUGGCGGCAUGCUUUACACAUGCAAGUCGAACGGUAACAGGCCGCAAGGUGCUGACGAGUGGCGAACGGGUGAGUAAUGCAUCGGAACGUGCCCAGUCGUGGGGGAUAACUGCUCGAAAGAGCAGCUAAUACCGCAUACGAUCUAUGGAUGAAAGCGGGGGACCGUAAGGCCUCGCGCGAUUGGAGCGGCCGAUGUCAGAUUAGGUAGUUGGUGGGUAAAGGCUCACCAAGCCAACGAUCUGUAGCUGGUCUGAGAGGACGACCAGCCACACUGGGACUGAGACACGCCCCAGACUCCUACGGGAGGCAGAAGUGGGGAAUUUUGGACAAUGGGGGCAACCCUGAUCCAGCAAUGCCGCGUGCAGGAAGAAGGCCUUCGGGUUGUAAACUGCUUUUGUACGGAACGAAACGGUCUGGGUUAAUACCCUGGGCUAAUGACGGUACCGUAAGAAUAAGCACCGGCUAACUACGUGCCAGCCGCCGCCGUAAUAC
rnacentral:rRNA from 1 species